rnacentral:tRNA from 1 species
GCCUCUAUAGCUUAGUGGGAAGGCACCGCUUUGUUGCGGGGACCACAGUUCGAUUCUGUGUGGAGGCA